UGAUGACGAGACGCUAAGGCGUUGAAGCAGUGUAUGUCAGACUUCCAAGAAAAGCUCGCAAUGUCACAAAUAAAAGAUGCCUGUACCAUAACCGACACAGGUGGGUAGGUAGAGUAUACUAAGGGGCGCGAGAUAACUCUCUCUAAGGAACUCGGCAAAAUGACUCCGUAACUUCGGGAGAAGGAGUGCCUUAUUUAUAAGGUUGCAAUAACAAGAUCCAAGCAACUGUUUAUCAAAAACACAGGUCUCCGCUAAGUCGUAAGACGAUGUAUGGGGGCUGACGCCUGCCCAGUGCCAGAAGGUUAAAGAAGUUGGUUAGUGUAUGCGAAGCUGAUGACUGAAGCCCUGGUGAACGGCGGCCGUAACUAUAACGGUCCUAAGGUAGCGAAAUUCCUUGUCGGGUAAGUUCCGACCCGCACGAAAGGCGUAAUGAUUUGGAUACUGUCUCGGAGAGAGGCUCGGUGAAAUAGACUUGUCUGUGAAGAUGCGGACUACCUGCACCAGGACAGAAAGACCCUAUGAAGCUUUACUGUAACUUGAAAUUGGAAUUGGACUUUGCUUGCGCAGUAUAGGUGGGAAGCGUUGAAGAUAUUCUUGCGGGAGUAUUGGAGCUAUCAGUGAGAUACCACUCUUGUAAUGUUAGAUUUCUAACUUUGAACCAUAAUCUGGUCAAAGAACAGUUUCAGGUGGGCAGUUUGACUGGGGCGGUCGCCUCCCAAAUGGUAACGGAGGCGUACAAAGGUUUCCUCUGAACGGAUAGAAAUCGUAUCUAGAGUGUAAAGGCAUAAGGAAGCUUGACUGUGAGACCUACAAGUCGAGCAGGGACGAAAGUCGGUCUUAGUGAUCUGACGGUACUGAGUGGAAAGGCCGUCACUCAACGGAUAAAAGUUACUCUAGGAUAACAGGCUGAUCUCCCCCAAGAGUUCACAUCGACGGGGAGGUUUGGCACCUCGAUGUCGGCUCAUCGCAUCCUGGGGCGGUAGUACGUCCCAAGGGUUGGGCUGUUCGCCCAUGAAAGCGGUACGCGAGCUGGGUUCAGAACGUCGUGAGACAGUUCGGUCCAUAUCCGGUGUAGGCGUUAGAAUAUUGAGAGGAGCCUUCUUUAGUACGAGAGGACCGAGAAGGACACACCGCUGGUGUACCAGUUAUCGUGCCAACGGUAAACGCUGGGUAGCUAUGUGUGGAGUGGAUAACCGCUGAAAGCAUCUAAGUGGGAAGCCCACCUCAAGAUGAG
rnacentral:rRNA from 1 species